CCCUUAGAUGUUCUGGGCCGCACACGCGCUACACUGAAGGAGGCAGCGUGUACUCCUGGAUCGAAAGAUUUGGGUAACCCGCGAAUCUCCUUCGUGCUAGGGAUUGAGGUUUGCAAUUAUCCUUCAUGAACGAGGAAUUCCCAGUAAGUGCAAGUCAUAAGCUUGCGCUGACUACGUCCCUGCCCUUUGUACACACCGCCCGUCGCUACUACCGAUUGAGUGAUCCGGUGAAUUAUUCGGACCGAAACAUCAUCUGGUUUCCAGAAGAUGCUUCGGGAAGUCUUGUGAACCUUAUCACUUAGAGGAAGGAGAAGUCGUAACA
rnacentral:rRNA from 1 species